CCUCUGUGGAAUGCACAUCCCCACUCCUUAACACUCACUUAUCCCCUCAUUGCCUGUGAACUGCAGCUAUAGAAACAGAGAUGUGUUUGGUCUUCUGGUUUGAAUGAUGGGCAGCAUCAUUUAGCUAACUUUCUCUGAGCCCAGGCUGUCAAAGACCUAUCCAAACCUAUGAAUGGGCAGUAAAUGGAGAAGCAGCGCAGUGAUAAGCUCAUCUCUGUGUCACUCUGGAUUUCCUCUCUUAUCAACAUGCUCCUUGUCAACAUGUGAACUGAUAGGUGAACUGUGCUGCUUCUCCCUCUAUGUCUCUGAGCUCUGCUGCACAGAAACUGCAAGAGACUGAUACCAAGCUGAAAGGAGCAGUGGAGAAGAAGAAAUGUGCUGCUGAGAGGGGUCUGUAAAACAAAAUUGCCCCAGAUGAUGUCUGUGUAGAUGAAACGCAUCAGUUCGUAUUGAGCCUGCUCCAAGUCAUUGCGUCUUUUGGGAUUUCCCAUGUGAUCGCGAUUUUGAAGACGUUCCAUUGAUAUGUCUGUAGCUCCAGACUUGAUGUAAGUUUUCUACCUUUUUAAUAAAGCUUGUAAAAGAUGGUUCUACA